AGAGCGAACGCUGGCGGCGUGCUUAACACAUGCAAGUCGAACGCGCAGCAGUUUGUAGCAAUACAGAUUGUGGGCGCGUGGCGAACGGGUGCGUAACACGUGGAUAACCUUCCUUCAGGUGGGAAUAACCCAGUGAAAAUUGGGCUAAUACCGCAUAACAUGACGAUGGCUCAUGCCGUUGUCUUCAAAGGCGCAAGUCGCCAGAAGAGGGAUCCGCGGCCGAUUAGCUAGUUGGCGAGGUAAUGGCUCACCAAGGCAUUGAUCGGUA
rnacentral:rRNA from 1 species